ACCCGGUAAGAUGACAUCCUGAAGCAGGCCCGCGGCUAGGCAGCCAGAGAAACACAGCUGGAUUCCGCUUCCGUCCACAUGACAAUGUGAUCUCAUCAGCCCGUGCUCGUGGCCCUGCUCCAGAGUUGGCAUGUCAGUAUUCCCCUCCAAGAGAUGCCUUCAGCAGUUCAAAAACUGCUCCUGAAAUGUCCACCAGCAUCUCACAGAUGAUUCACCUUGUGUCCCAAAAUAGGACUGAGAGCAUGAGGAAAAACACCCAGGACUCCAACUACCUCUCAGCGUCUUUCUCCUACCUUGCCCUCAGCCACAUCUCCUUGGGAGAGACUCUCUUGGCGCCUCACUCCCAUCUCUUCCCCCUACCAGAGAGAAUCUGCUGCCCCUUCCCCUCCUCCUCCCGCUGCCAUUCCCAUCCCCAUUGCUCCACAAAUACUGCUGCUUAUCCCUCAUGUCCUGCCUACCCCAGCUGCUUCACCAAAAUCAUCCCCCCAACUGCUGCUUCUCUACCUCCCCAAAGAUGCCAUCCAACCUCCUCCCAGCGGCAGAGG